rnacentral:rRNA from 1 species
GAUGAACGCUGGCGGCAUGCCUAAUACAUGCAAGUCGAGCGAAGAUAUUCUCUGCUUGCUGCGAUUUCGAGAGCAGCGGACGGGUGAGUAACACGUGGGUAACCUGCCUAUGAGAGGGGGAUAACUUCGGGAAACCGAUGCUAAUACCGCAUAAUGUUUUGGACCGCCUGGUUCAAUGACGAAAGACGGCUUUUCUGUCCCUUAUUGAUUGGUCCGCGCCGGAUUAGCUAGUUGGUAAGGUAACGGCUUACCAAAGCCUCGAUACGUAGCCGACCUGAGAGGGUGAUCGGCCACACUGGGACUGAGACACGGCCCAGACUCCUACGGGAGGCAGCAGUAGGGAAUCUUCCGCAAUGGGCGAAAGCCUGAUGGAGCAACGCCGCGUGAAUGAAGAAGGUCUUCGGAUCGUAAAGUUCUGUUAUUAGGGAAGAACAAGUCUAGAAGUAACUGUCCUGACUUUGACGGUACCUAACCAGAAAGUCACGGCUAACUACGUG